ensembl:lncRNA novel transcript, antisense to MYH11
UUUUUAGCUGCUGAGUUUGGCAUGUUUUGUUAUGUAGCAAUAGCUAACAAAUACAAUUAUCCUCCAUUCAGGCUUGCUGUUAGGAGAAAAGGGGUUAGCACAUGCAAGGCAGGGCAAUAGAACAGAGUGGGCUCACUGUGUUCCAGUCCCAAUCCCAGCUGUGUGGCCUUGAUCAGAUGACCAACCCUCUCCAAGCCCCCGUCUCAUCAUCUGUCCCAGCAGGGACACAUAUCCCUGGAUGCACCUCCACAGGCCUGUGGUGAGGGUCAAGUGAUUUGCUACCCACCACGGGCUGCCCCUGUGACACCUUACCAGCAUCUGCUGGGCCAUCUUCUUCCUUUCAGCCUGUAGCUGCUGGCCCCUGUCUUCCUCCUCCUCCAGGCGGGCCUCCAUCUCAUGCAGUAUCUCCUCCAGCUCCUGCUUCUUGGCCGCCAGCCGCACCCGCAUCUCCUCAGCCUCUGCAUACAGCUCUGUCUCUGCCUGCAGCUGUUCCUGUAGCAGGUUCUUCUCCUCGGUACCUGCGAGUGCUUCUGUUCCAGCUCCUUAAGCU